rnacentral:rRNA from 1 species
AUACGGAGGAUGCAAGUGUUAUCCGGAUUUAUUGGGUUUAAAGGGUGCGUAGGCGGUUUGCUAAGCGGGAGGUGAAAUGCCGGCGCUCAACGUCGGAAGUGCCUCCCGAACUGGUGGACUUGAAUGACUCUGCCGUGGGAGGAAUGGGUAGUGUAGCGGGGAAAUGCUUAGAGAUUACACAGAACACCGAUUGCGAAGGCAUCUCACGAAGGGUUGAUUGACGCUGAGGCACGAAAGCGUGGGGAUCAAACAGGAUUAGAUACCCUGGUAGUCCACGCAGUAAACGAUGAUGACUAACCGUCGGCGAUACACAGUCGGUGGCCAAGCGAAAGCGAUAAGUCAUCCACCUGGGGAGUACGUUCGCAAGAAUGAAACUCAAAUGAAUUGACGGGG